rnacentral:lncRNA from 10 species
UCAAAGAAAGGAACGAUGUGGACCUGACCUCAAAGAAAUCCAUUGGAGAAUAUGACAGAUUUAGAUUUAAUGAUCAACUUUACUUUUCCUAUACAGGUGGGAAAACAGCCUGCAAAAAUGUUAAGUAGCUUCCUCAGGAUCAAGUACUAUUGGAGCCAGCAUUGGUGGUCAAUCCUGUAUAGAAAUGACUUCAGUUGUAGAUCUGUGACCUUCCUUACUUACCUUCCUCUACCAAAGGGCCUGAACCAAGACAGACGUAAGUAGGAGCAGCUGGAUUUGACCCUAACUCUUGAAAAUCCUGCCCUGCUUUAAACGGGUUCAGCUGUGGGAGUAAAAUAGGAGUAAUUUCAUAGCUUCUCCGUAUAAUUGCACUGUAUCUGUAAGAGUAGAAGACGUCAAUCUUAAAAGAUUUGAGGAGGUUAUUUCCACACAUUAAAAGGAUUGAGUGACUGGACAAUAGCGAUAACUGCCAGUGAGAUAAUAACUGAACUUUCUUGGCAUGCUUCUCAUACCAGCUUUCUGAAGGGGGUCAACCAAAACCGCAUGGCGUACUACUCUCUGAAGCCUCUACUACCCUGCUCCUCCGUGUUGACAUGUGGUCAGGCAAGCCAGGACUUACUCACAUCAGCUACAUCAGUUACUGGGGUGGAGAAAAUUGAAGCCUAGAAAGAUCAAGAAACUUUCUCCAGGCCAUAAAUAGAGGAAUCAGGAUUCAAAUCAGAUAGACCCCAGGGCUUGUUCUCUUCAACACCACAUUACCCUACAUUAUUAUUCAAUUAUUAAAUAAAACCUUGCAUUAGUGGCAUUUCCAAAUGCAUAACAAAAAAAUAAAAAAAAGUAACACUGGUCAU